GACUAAAGUUUGGCAGGACAUCCUGUUCCAGAAGGAAGCGGAACAGAGUACAGCCUGCUGUGGACAGUUCCUUUUUGUGUCAGGAUGCUUCAUUCGCAGCACAUUCUACAAUUAUUCUGAGAGCUACAAGCAAGAAAGACAAGGGAGAACUGGGUUAGCUAAGAGUAAUGUGCAUAAACUGUUGCAGAAGAAGAAUAUAGAGGAUAUAUGAAGGCACAUGAAACUAAUUUACAGAUUAUUAAUCCACAUAAUCUCACUCUUUUCAACACACAUUUAAACACCUGCUCUGUGACAGAUUCUGGGACUGGUUUUGAGAAACAAAGGAGUCAAAUAAAUGCUCUCAAGGAAUUUACCUUCUAGUUGGGAAAUAUAUUUCUGGCAACAGUGGAGAAGAAUGAUAGGAAGAGAAUCAUACUGGAAUAGUAUAAUCCAUUGGAAGGUUGUUGUAAUGAAGGCAAGAAGAAAAAUGAUCUUGAAGGCAAGAAGAAAAAUCAUAAUGAAGGAAAGGAGAGAUGAGUUUACCAAAUAUAAUCUCAGAAUUGUUCUGUAAAUUUCAUUUCUGCUUUAGCAGCCAUAAAGAGCUCCAUUUAUUACAGUAGGAACAGAGGCAACAGUUACAUGGGUGGCUGGCAGUGAUAGAAAAGAUUUUAGUUUUGAUACAUGGAAUUUGACAUGCUUUUUGAAAAUCUUCAGAUGGUGAUGUACAAACUACUGCAGGAACAUAUGAGGAAAGAUGAGAGAAUCCACAGACUCUUUGAAGGAAGCAGAUUGCUCCUGCAGGGCCUGGGAGACAACCCAAACACUGGGUCCUUAGGGAGAGGUGCCAGAGGAAUUGGAAAAAGGCCACAGGCAGAAGGAAGGCUCCAGCUGAACUUGAUUGACCCGUCAUUUGGAUGUCCCAAAACCACAGAAGCAAUAGAAGAAUGGAAAAAAUUAAUACAUUUUGUCAAUAAAAACUUUAUCUUCA
rnacentral:lncRNA from 1 species